rnacentral:lncRNA from 1 species
UGAAUGAUGCGAUCGAUUUUUAGUAAAAUCGCAUCAAUGUUAUUUAGAAUUUAAUUAUUUUAUGUAAAUUUAGCAAUGAAAUUCUCACUUUUUAUCAAACUAAAGAACAGUCAAUUGCAGCUGAAAACCAGAGCUUAUACAAUGAUUUUUUGGCAAUCAUACAUAAUCUAUCAAUUGAUAACAAUUUUCAUACGGAAUCCAUAAGCACACAAAUAAAACAUCAAAUUUUCAUUAAUGAACUAAUAAGCAAGGUACACAUUGAUCUGCAGCAGAGUCUCAACUCAAUCAGUCUCGUGCUGUUUUGUGGCUAGGAAAGUUUUCACGGUGGCAAAUCCCUUAAUAUUAACAUACUUCCCUGUGCCACCCAUAAUGGCAAGAUGGGAUUCGGCAACUGCGGCCGGUGUACGCCAAAUAGGCUAAAACUAUCAACAUAGCUUUCACUGGUAAACAUUACAGUGAAAACCAUGGUUUGGCUAUUUCCAUCUUCUGAACUUGCUACGUAAAAGCCUUGCGCUUUUCCAACCAGGCCUGAUCCGAGGUCGUGCCCUUCUGUUAAUUUGUCGUCGAAUACUGUCGUUGUCCUGAACAUGAGCUUCUGGAGGGUUGUCCCGGAAGGGAAUUGUGCGCUGCCUAGGACAGGGA